rnacentral:pre_miRNA from 1 species
UGUGAGCGGUCCAUCGAGCGACCGAACUUCCAUAUCGAGCCCAGCCCACUCGACCAAAUAAGACGCUGGCAAGAUGUUGGCAGUUCAGUCGCAAGAUUGUGACCA